AUUCAAGCGUUUUUGAAGGGCAUCUGGUGAAUGCCUUGGCGAUCAGAGGCGAUGAAGGACGUGGCAGGCUGCGAAAAGUUCCGGUAAGGUGCCAACACCCGUUGACCCGGAAAUGUCCGAAUGGGGAAACCCACCUCUUUAUGAGGUAUUUUACACUGAAUACAUAGGUGUAAAAAGCAAACGCGGGGAAGUGAAACAUCUCAGUACCCGCAGGAAAGGAAAUCAACCGAGACUCCGUUAGUAGUGGCGAGCGAACGCGGACCAGUCCAGUGGCAUGUCUGUAAGAACGAGAAGCGGAUGGAAAGCCGCGCCAAAGUGGGUGAUAGCCCCGUAUCGGUAGAAAGCAGAUAUGUCCUUGAGUAAGGCGGGACACGUGUAAUCCUGUCUGAACAUGGGGGGACCAUCCUCCAAGACUAAGUACUCCUGAUCGACCGAUAGUGCACAAGUACCGUGAGGGAAAGGUGAAAAGAACCCCGAUGAGGGGAGUGAAACAGACCUGAAACCAGAUGCUUACAAGCAGUCGGAGCCUCUUUACGAGGUGACGGCGUACCUUUUGUAUAAUGGGUCCGCGAGUUAGUCUUACAUGCAAGCUUAAGCCGUUAGGUGUAGGCGCAGCGAAAGCGAGUGUUAAAUGCGCGUUGUCCCACUUUCAGAUAAUUUGGAGAUGUAAAAAUGCAGCGAAGAUUCUAUAAUUUAGUAAAAAAUAAAGCUUAUUUCUGUUUAAAGUUUAUAGCCUUUUCGAUACUAACACUUAUUAAUAUUAUAGUUUCAAUGCAAGUUCUGGGAAUUAGUAAACUACAAGACUUUUUUCCAUAUUCUUUUUUAGGGUUUUCUUUAGUUGCAUCCAGCCUUUGGAAUCCGUUCUUUUUAUGGAAAAGGGUAGGCCUGGUAUACCUGCCCUUACUUUUGUGGCCCUCUGCAUUAGCGGUUUUUGUAAUCUAUGAUAUGGGGUUUCCUGUUUUAGAUGCUGUGCUAAAUAUUUGCGGUUUUACAUCUCCCGAAUCCUCUGAUAGUGGGACAUAGUAUGUGGGAUUAGACCCGAAACCCGGUGAUCUAGCCAUGGGCAGGCUGAAGGUGCGGUAACACGCACUGGAGGGCCGAACACACCACUGUUGAAAAAGUGGGUGAUGACCUGUGGCUAGGGGUGAAAGGCCAAUCAAACCGGGUAAUAGCUGGUUCUCCGCGAAAUCUAUUUAGGUAGAGCGUCAUGUGAAUACCCUGGGGGGUAGAGCACUGGAAGGGCUAGGGGGGCGCGAGCCUUACCAAACCCUACCAAACUCCGAAUACCCAGGAGUACUGCAUGGCAGACAGUCCAUGGGUGAUAAGGUCCAUGGGCGAGAGGGAAACAACCCAGACCUACAGCUAAGGUCCCCAAGUGACAGUUAAGUGCGAAAGCAAGUCGGGCGUCCAAGACAACCAGGAGGUUGGCUUAGAAGCAGCCACCCUUUAAAGAAAGCGUAAUAGCUCACUGGUCUAAAUAAGACGCCCGGCGGCGAAGAUGUACCGGGACUAAAACUGUCCACCGAAGCUUAGGAUGCACUUUGUGCAUGGUAGCGGAGCAUUGUGUAGGCCUGUGAAGGGCAGUCGUGAGGCUUGCCUGGAGGUAUCACAAGCGAGAAUGCGGACAUGAGUAGCGAUAAAGAGUGUGAGAGACACUCUCGCCGAAAUCCCAAGGGUUCCUGUUCUAUGUUCAUCAGAGCAGGGUGAGUCGGCCCCUAAGGCGAGGCAGAAGUGCGUAGUCGAUGGGAACACGGUUAAUAUUCCGUGACCUGUGGGAGGUGACGGAUCGCGUAAGUUGUUCUUCCUUAAUGGAUUGGAAGGGCUGCGAAGCGGUCCCAGGAAAUAGCCCCCACGUUAUAGACCGUACCCGAAACCGACACAGGUGGGAUGGUAGAGAAUACCAAGGCGCUUGAGAGAACCGUCCUGAAGGAACUCGGCAAAUUACUUGCGUAACUUCGGGAUAAGCAAGCCCUCGCGUGUGGAAACACGCGCGGGGGGGCACAGACCAGGGGGUAGCGACUGUUUACCUAAAACACAGGACUCUGCUAAGCCGCAAGGCGAAGUAUAGGGUCUGACGCCUGCCCGGUGCCGGAAGGUUAAGAGGAGGUGUGCAAGCACUGAAUUGAAGCCCCGGUAAACGGCGGCCGUAACUAUAACGGUCCUAAGGUAGCGAAAUUCCUUGUCGGGUAAGUUCCGACCUGCACGAAUGGCGUAACGACUUCCCCACUGUCUCCAGGACGGGCUCAGCGAAGUUGAACUCGGGGUUAAGAUGCCCCGUACCCGCGGUCAGACGGGAAGACCCUAUGAACCUUUACUGCAACUUCGCAGUGGCAUUACGAUUGUUAUGUGCAGGAUAGGCGGGAGGCUUUGAGGCGGGGGCGUCAGUCCUCGCGGAGCCGUCCUUGAGAUACCGCCCUUGACCUUCGUGAUGUCUAACCGCGCCCCGUGAAUCCGGGGCCGGGACCCUGCGUGGUGGGUAGUUUGACUGGGGCGGUCGCCUCCCAAAGCGUAACGGAGGCGCGCGAUGGUUGGCUCAGGACGGUCGGAAAUCGUCCAUCGAGUGCAAUGGCAUAAGCCAGCCUUACUGCGAGGCCGACAGGCCGAGCAGUUGCGAAAGCAGGUCAUAGUGAUCCGGUGGUUCCACAUGGACGGGCCAUCGCUCAACGGAUAAAAGGUACUCUAGGGAUAACAGGCUGAUAGCCCCCAAGCGCUCACAGCGACGGGGCUGUUUGGCACCUCGAUGUCGGCUCAUCUCAUCCUGGGGCUGGAGAAGGUCCCAAGGGUAUGGCUGUUCGCCAUUUAAAGAGGUACGCGAGCUGGGUUCAGAACGUCGUGAGACAGUUCGGUCCCUAUCUGCCGUGGGCGUUGGAGUCUUGAGAGGAUCUGCCCCUAGUACGAGAGGACCGGGGUGGACGGACCUCUGGUGUACCUGUUGUCGCGCCAGCGGCACCGCAGGGUAGCUAUGUCCGGGAUGGAUAACCGCUGAAAGCAUCUAAGCGGGAAGCCGGCCUCGAGACCAGGACUCCCCAUCAGGGCCGUGGAAGACCACCACGUUGAUAGGCGGGAUGUGGACGCGUGGCAACACGUGAAGCUAACCCGUACUAAUUGCCCGAUUGGCUUGAAUUC
rnacentral:rRNA from 1 species